CAAGAAGAUGAUGUUGGUUCCCAUGGGAAUGGAGUUUCAGAGAGCUAUGAACUGCCAUGACAAGUCAACUGCCUGUCAUGACUCAUCAUCUGUGGAGUCCCCACUGGAAUUGAAGCCCAAACAUAUAGUCACUGAAGUUUUCUAUCUUCAGUUUUCCUUCAUGUUUUUCUUCACAACUCUUCCUUUCUUUGGGUUAGUAAACUGUGUAGAUUAGUUAGGCAUUUCUCCUGAGUUCCAUGGGUAACUCUUGGCAGCAGUAAACAACUCUGUAUAGUUUAAAGAUUUGUCAUCUUUGUCCUUUUCAACAUAACUAAUACCUUCAAUUGUCAUCCACAAAAUGACCUAAAUAUGUUCAUCUUUACUCCUUCCUUAAUUUGAAUGAUUCCAUUCUUCCAAACCUAAUGAGUACACAAGACAGAAAAUAUCCAGUUACUGAACAUUGCUCAGUGAGCUAUCCAUGUGAUAAGUCUUAUCUCACUGAAUUCAGCUGCACAGCUGUCAGGAGAGCCAACUGCUGUGGAAGAGAAAUUAAAUGACCUUUCCAAAGUCACCAAGCUAGGAGUGGCAGGAUUGAUAGACCCUGGAAUCAACCCGUAGGUAGAAUUCUCGGCAUCUAUCUACUUAGUAUCCCAUAGUCACCACAUAUUCAACCAGGUCAAAACCCAACUCACUCGCUUCUCUUUGUGAACAUCAGUUCACCAGCAGGUGGAAACCUGCUAGCCUGCUGAGCCAGCCUCUCAUCUUGCCCUCACCCCCAGGUCUUCUGUCUCUCUCUCUCUAUUCUCUGAGUCAAAUUGUUGUUUCUUCCCACUCCACUGCAACAUCCAUUCCAAUGCUUUUCGUAAUGUCCUGCUGAACUACAGUAAUUAUCUCUCAAUUCGUUCCCCUGUCUCAUCCUUUCAUUUUAUGCUUAGAACUUGAUUAUUCUUCUCAGAACCUGACUAUGAGCAUCACCUUCUCUAUGCUGGGUCUCUAAGAGCACCUCAUUUGAUGAAGUCCAUCUCUUCCCCUGCCCUGCAAUGUCAAUGGUACCCUCAUGAUUUCUCUGCUAGAAUAGUAAUGCCCUGACAAAUUGUUAGAGAUGUCAGUUUUCUUAUUUUUCUACAGAUUCUUUUUUCUACACCUUUUCCCUCAGUGGUCCCUCUUAGUGAAUGGUCAUUAUUUCCCAUGUCUCUCUCAAGGUCAGGGAUAGUCCACCCUUUCUUCAAGAGGAUAAUAAGCUCCCUGGAGCCUGCCCCACAAUCCAGUCCAGAUUAUUAGCACUUUUUGAGCCCUGUAAGACUGUCUAGACCACAAUCUGGGUCUAAGCCAAGAAUGCCUUAGUCAUUAUUUCUAUGAAGAUGUCUGCCUCUGCUACUGUUUGAGGGGCCUUACACUGCCUGGACCAAGCAUCAUGAUCAUGUACACCUCAAUGUAUUACCACAAAAUAAAGCAGGUGACAGCCUCUUCUUUCUUCCUA